rnacentral:rRNA from 1 species
AGUGAACGCUGGCGGUAGGCCUAACACAUGCAAGUCGAACGGCAGCACAGUAAGAGCUUGCUCUUACGGGUGGCGAGUGGCGGACGGGUGAGGAAUACAUCGGAAUCUACUUUUUCGUGGGGGAUAACGUAGGGAAACUUACGCUAAUACCGCAUACGACCUACGGGUGAAAGCAGGGGAUCUUCGGACCUUGCGCGAUUGAAUGAGCCGAUGUCGGAUUAGCUAGUUGGCGGGGUAAAGGCCCACCAAGGCGACGAUCCGUAGCUGGUCUGAGAGGAUGAGCAGCCACACUGGAACUGAGACACGGUCCAGACUCCUACGGGAGGCAGCAGUGGGGAAUAUUGGACAAUGGGCGCAAGCCUGAUCCAGCCAUACCGCGUGGGUGAAGAAGGCCUUCGGGUUGUAAAGCCCUUUUGUUGGGAAAGAAAAGCAGCAGGUUAAUACCCCGCUGUGCUGACGGUACCCAAAGAAUAAGCACCGGCUAACUUCGUG